UUGGAUGAGCCCCGCGGCCUAUCAGCUUGUUGGUGAGGUAAUGGCUCACCAAGGCGACGACGGGUAGCCGGCCUGAGAGGGCGACCGGCCACACUGGGACUGAGACACGGCCCAGACUCCUACGGGAGGCAGCAGUGGGGAAUAUUGCACAAUGGGCGAAAGCCUGAUGCAGCGACGCCGCGUGAGGGAUGACGGCCUUCGGGUUGUAAACCUCUUUCAGCAGGGAAGAAGCGAAAGUGACGGUACUGCAGCAAUAUGGACGAAGACAC
rnacentral:rRNA from 1 species